AAAACAAGCCACUCAAAUACAAACGCAAGACGAAUGAUACGGAGUCGCAGGAAAACACAAUUCAGUCGAGAAUUAAAAAAAAAAAAAAAAAACAUAUACAGCAGUACAGUCUGUCGUUUGCCUCCACUUUCGAUUAUUGUUGUUUCUUU
rnacentral:ribozyme from 1 species